GUUAUGACAAUGUCAUUAUCUCCAAGCGCCCAAAAUCUCACAUUUACUUGCAACAUACAAAACAGUAUAAAAAUACAUAACUUUAGCAUUUUAAUAGACAAUUUGUGCAUUUUACCGUUUAUUAUGUAGCCCAGAUCUGAGCGCAGGAGAAAGUCAAAUAGCGCUCAGAACUCACGAACGGUAUGGUUAGUUUCAUCAAUAUAAAGUCUGUUCGUGUCUUUUGUCCCGAACCUGAGACGGCGGCCAUAUUUUCAGGUGAGUUAAUGGGCAGCGGGACCUCGACCCCAAACUCAUGGAACUAGUAGCGGCCAGAGGUUUACACGAAUCCCCGCUCUCCUGAUGGUUGUCCCAGCCGUUCGGAAAAUGGACGGAGACCACCGGGAAGGGGUACUUAACCUGCGGUUAACCGCAAAACCAACGUUCUAAUUGGGGCCAUAUGCCAAGAUGUAGGUGGUCCUCGUUCGCGAGUCUUUCGGUAGUUUUAGUUCGGGAGAUAGUGCACGAACGGGAAUGCCCUGGG